GUCUACGGCCACACCACCACGAAUGUGCCCGAUCCCGUCUGAUCUCAGAAGCUAAGCGGGGGCGGGCCUGGUUAGUACUUGGAUGGGAGGGUCUCACACAGGACAUCCUUCAUU
rnacentral:rRNA from 1 species